AGCCCUGCCCGGCCGCCGCGGGACGGGGCUGCGGAGCGGGGCUGGGGCCGGAAAGCCCGCGUAGUGCCCAGGUGAAUAAAGGCACUCCAAAAGGAACAACUCCAGAAUAUCUCAACAGGAGCAGAGAAACAAUGGCAAAGGACUGAAGACGCUUCCCACUUUAAAAGUGCAGACAGAACACUGAUUAUAGACUGAGGCUCUGGAUGAGGUGCAGAGCAAGAACUGAUCAUCACCUUGUGUUGAGAUGAGCCAGGAGAUGCAUCUUGGCUGCUUCCACCCUGCCAGGCUUCAUCCUGCAGUCACCUGGUGCGUGCACUUGCUGAACCCAAGCACUAUGGGCAGGUUUGAUUACUCCUGUGUGAGAAAGGAGUCUGCUGUGUAAUAUUUACCCAAGUUUUCAUCUCCCCACUAACUUGCUUUGUUUUCAUGUAUUUGUGAAAGAACCAGACAAAUAAAUAUCAAGGAUAACCUACACAGAGAA